CCUAAACGACAAGACAGCAAUUUUUUAAAGUUAACUUAAAAAAGAAAAGAAAAGAAAGAAAGCUCAUGUCCUUGGCUGAUGAGCGUGGAGAAGACCUUGGGAUGGUUUUCAGAGAGACGGAAGCCUUAGCACAGGCCUGCUGCUGCACGCGAAGAACUCCCGAACCGUUGGUGAUAGAAUGAGCUGCCAGGCAGGUGGAAGCAGAGACGAAGGCAUGACGUUAGACGAGACGAACUAGAAGACUGUUUCCAACGCAGAGGGUGAAUCUGCCCAGAGGUGCUUCCCAGGCAGUUUCUAAACUGAGAGGAAAUAAGGGGGAAAAAGCAUCUUGCAUCAAUUCAUCCUUGUCUGUCUCCGCUUAUACUUUUCAAAGUAGAAAAAAGAGAAAAGUCUGGGUUCGCCACAUGGAAAGGAGGUGAGUGAGGACCUUGGUUCUUUAGGGUGUUCAAGGGGAUGCGGGCUGCCUCCCUUCUGGGGGUUUCUGCCUUGGGAGGACAAUGCACGGUAUGACCCCUAGCUCCUGUCUAACGUCAAGAGUCUGCGAAGCUGUAUUUCACCCUCAACUCGUGACCUUCUCCCCUUGUUUCUUGUUGGAGGAAGUCAUUUUCACUCUCUGGACCUCAAGGGACCUUUCUAUUAGAUGAGGCUGUUGAAGUCUGGGAUCUUUGGAGGGACCUCACAUUCUGCAGGGAUACAGUUUUACCGAGGAUUUUUCGGGCCUAAGGAGGAAUCACAUUUCUCCGUGCUUCUGCUUCCGAGGACAAUAUUAGGUAAACUGAGAGGCAGAAAGAGAAUUCCAGAGUCGGGCAGAGUUACGGAUAGAAGAGCUUCAAGUUUCAGGCUGGAAGCGACCUUCACAGACUAUCUUAUCCCUAAUCGGACUGCCAGGUGGGGCCACGUAGAAUGCAGCCCUGUUUCUUAGGUCUGCCGUGUUCUCCUCCGAAGUGUUCUCGUUGAGAAGGUAAGAAAAAUGAAGAGGCUACAGUGGAAAACAACAUAGUGGCUCCUCAAAAAAUUAAACAGAAUUUUACCGUAGGAUGCAGUGAUUCCACUUCCAGUUUAUACUCCAGAAGAAUUGAAAGCGGGGACUUGAACAAAUAUUUGUACACUCAUGUUCAUAAAACUGUUCUGCACAAGAACCGAAAAGUGGAAGCAACCCUUGUGUUGAUGGAUGAAGAGGGAAGGGAGACGUGGGAUGCACAUGCAGUGGAAUCCUAUUCAGUCUUGAAAAGAAAGGGACCUCUGACACCUGCGACCUUAUGAAUGAAUCUUUGAAGACAUCACGUUGACUGAAAUAAGCCACCGAUUUUCCCAUUGCUGUGGAAUGUGAGGAGAUUAUUCCCAUCUCUCUAGGGCUCACAGACCGUGUGUCUCUACCCUUCGUGGUCCCUUUUAUGAGCUUUUAAAAUUGGGAAUACUCGGUUGAUGGUACCUUUUGACUCCAAUUUUCUAAUGCUGAGUGCCCUGAAAUACAAGUCAAUUAUGACACUAAAAUGCAUGGAGCGGAGUUCCCGUCGUGGCGCAGUGGUUAACGAAUCUGACUAGGAACCAUGAGGUUGCGGGUUCGGUCCCUGCCCUUGCUCAGUGGGUUAACGAUCCGGCGUUGCCGUGAGCUGUGGUGUAGGUUGCAGACGCGGCUCAGAUCCUGCGUUGCUGUGGCUCUGGCGUAGGCCGGUGGCUACAGCUCCGAUUCGACCCCUAGCCUGGGAACUUCCAUAUGCCACGGGAGUGGCCCAAGAAAUAGCAACAACAACAACAACAACAACAAAAGACAAAAAAAAAAAAAAAAAAAAAGCAUGGAGCUUGUGUCACAUCCCAUGCACUAAAGAGCAAGGCUCCCAACAAGACUGCCCCUACUUCAGAUGACAAUUUUCAGUGGGAUUCCCAGACUAUUCAUAAUUGUCCCUGAUAAACUACAACAUUAGCGCUUCCCAUACCCCUGAGUAUUUCUCUAGGAUGAC
ensembl:lncRNA